CUCGUAGGCUGUUCGGUCAGUCAGAUGUGAAAGCCCUCGGCUUAACCGGGGAACUGCAUUUGAUACUGCCAGACUUGAGUGUCGGAGAGGGUGGCGGAAUUCCGGGUGUAGGAGUGAAAUCCGUAGAUAUCCGGAGGAACACCAGUGGCGAAGGCGGCCACCUGGACGACAACUGGCGCUGAGGAGCGAAAGCGUGGGGAGCAAACA
rnacentral:rRNA from 1 species